AACGAGAAGCCCGUGCACCACAACUAGAGAGAAGCGCACGCAGCAACGAAGACCCAGCACGGCCAAAAAUAAAUAAAUAAAAUUAUUUUAAAAAUAUAUACAUAUAUUUAUCUUAUAAUGGUCUUGUUGUUUACAACACUAUCCUGGUGUGACUAGAAUAUGGCCAGGUCUCCAGGAGCUUGCGCUGGAUCUAAAGCAGCCCACACUCCUCCCAGUCACGGCAAAAGACAGACUGUCCAGAAGACGCAUGAGACUUGUCAAACGUUUUAUAGAUACCUUCUGAUGGCUGCAUAAUUCCAUUAAUACACCUAACUGUUGAGUUUAUGAAAGGAAAAAUAACCAGGAGGCAAAAACCAGGAAAAGGAACAUAAAUGGAAGAAAAAAAAAGAAUCUCAAGAACUGAGUAUACUAAUAACUCUUGACAAGAAAAAUCUGACUCUGGGAGGUGUCCUGACUCAGUAUUUCAGUAAGCUAACUCUGGACACAAUUCCAGAUGACACCACCCUUAUGGCAGAAAGUGAAGAGGAACUAAAGAGCCUCUUGAUGAAAGUGAAAGAGGAGAGUGAAAAAGUUGGCUUAAAACUCAACAUUCAGAAAAUGAAGAUCAUGGC